rnacentral:lncRNA from 1 species
GCCACCAGCUAGGGGAAGCCGAGGCUGGUGAGAAGAGCAACCCUCUGCACUGGAGAGACUGGCAUGCAGACAAGGGGAAACCCAGAGGAAACUGGCAAAGUGGGGAAUCUAGUCUCAAAUCAAAAACUCCAGUUUCAACAUGACCCCAAACCAGCCCUCCUGCCCAGAAGCUCUGCCAGGGGACAGCAACUGCCCUCCUCCCCUGAACAGAGCUCCGCAACCAGCCAGUCUCUUCUAGAAGGCUUCUUGGAGGAGGAAACCCCUGCAGUGAACAAGGAGCCAGAUAAAA